rnacentral:rRNA from 1 species
AGCGAACGCUGGCGGCAGGCCUAACACAUGCAAGUCGAACGGACCCUUCGGGGUUAGUGGCGGACGGGUGAGUAACACGUGGGAACGUGCCUUUAGGUUCGGAAUAGCUCCUGGAAACGGGUGGUAAUGCCGAAUGUGCCCUUCGGGGGAAAGAUUUAUCGCCUUAGAGCGGCCCGCGUCUGAUUAGCUAGUUGGUGAGGUAACGGCUCACCAAGGCGACGAUCAGUAGCUGGUCUGAGAGGAUGACCAGCCACACUGGGACUGAGACACGGCCCAGACUCCUACGGGAGGCAGCAGUGGGGAAUCUUGCGCAAUGGGCGAAAGCCUGACGCAGCCAUGCCGCGUGAAUGAUGAAGGUCUUAGGAUUGUAAAAUUCUUUCACCGGGGACGAUAAUGACGGUACCCGGAGAAGAAGCCCCGGCUAACUUCGUG